rnacentral:rRNA from 1 species
AACGCUAGCGGCAGGCCUGACACAUGCAAGUCGAGGGGUAACAGGGAGUGCUUGCACUCUGCUGACGACCGGCGCACGGGUGCGUAACGCGUAUGCAACCUACCUUCCACAGGGGGAUAGUCAAUAGAAAUGUUGAAUAAUACCCCAUACGAUCUAAAGAUCACCUGAUCAAUAGAGGAAAACUCCGGUGGUGGAAGAUGGGCAUGCGUCCUAUUAGUUAGUUGGUGAGGUAACGGCUCACCAAGACUACGAUAGGUAGGGGUCCUGAGAGGGAGACCCCCCACACUGGUACUGAGACACGGACCAGACUCCUACGGGAGGCAGCAGUGAGGAAUAUUGGACAAUGGAGGCAACUCUGAUCCAGCCAUGCCGCGUGCAGGAAGACUGCCCUAUGGGUUGUAAACUGCUUUUAUACAGGAAGAAAUGUACCUACGUGUAGGUAUUUGACGGUACUGUAAGAAUAAGGAUCGGCUAACUCCGUGCCAGCAGCCGCGGUAAUACGGAGGAUCCAAGCGUUAUCCGGAAUCAUUGGGUUUAAAGGGUCCGUAGGCGGUUUUUUAAGUCAGAGGUGAAAUCCUGCAGCUCAACUGUAGCAUUGCCUUUGAUACUGAGAGACUUGAGUUAUUGUGAAGUAGUUAGAAUGUGUAGUGUAGCGGUGAAAUGCAUAGAUAUUACACAGAAUACCAAUUGCGAAGGCAGAUUACUAACAAUACACUGACGCUGAGGGACGAAAGCGUGGGUAGCGAACAGGAUUAGAUACCCUGGUAGUCCACGCCGUAAACGAUGG